rnacentral:rRNA from 1 species
GACGAACGCUGGCGGCGUGCUUAACACAUGCAAGUCGAACGGAAAGGCCCUGCUUUUGUGGGGUGCUCGAGUGGCGAACGGGUGAGUAACACGUGAGUAACCUGCCCUUGACUUUGGGAUAACUUCAGGAAACUGGGGCUAAUACCGGAUAGGAGCUCCUGCUGCAUGGUGGGGGUUGGAAAGUUUCGGCGGUUGGGGAUGGACUCGCAGCUUAUCAGCUUGUUGGUGGGGUAGUGUCUUACCAAGGCUUUGACGGGUAGCCGGCCUGAGAGGGUGACCGGCCACAUUGGGACUGAGAUACGGCCCAGACUGCUACGGGAGGCAGCAGUGGGGAAUAUUGCACAAUGGGCGGAAGCCUGAUGCAGCAACGCCGCGUGCGGGAUGACGGCCUUCGGGUUGUAAACCGCUUUCGCCUGUGCCGAAGCGUGAGUGACGGUAAUGGGUAAAGAAGCACCGGCUAACUACGUG